AGAAGUGGUCUUACUUCAUUUUGGCUGGCACUGCAAGUCACGAAAUACAAGUUACCACUAUGCAUCCAUCAGAAUGAUCAAGAUGAAAAAUCAGGCGAUUGUUGGAGAGACUGUCAAGCAGCUAGAAUUCUUAUACACUGCUAGUGGAGUGUCAAAUGAUUCCAUGCUUUGGAAAAUGUUUGUUAGGCUCUAUUAAAUCUGAACAUAUGCAUACCCUAUGACCCUAAAAGUCCACUGCUAAGUAUAUUCCCAACAGAAAUGCAUGUAUGUUUGCUAAAGGUGUAUGUAGUAAUGUUCAUUGCUGCACUAUUCAUAAUAGCCCCAAACCAGAAGUUCCCAAUUGCUUAUGAAUGGUGCCUGGGUAAAUUAACUGUGAUACGUUCACACAGUGGCAUUCUAUGUAAGACAGUGACAAUAAACAAAUCAUAACCACAAUGAAAAUUAUAGCUAUCACUUGAAAACACAAUACUGAAUUGAAAAAGCCAAAUACAAAUUGGUACACACAUGUUAUAUGAUUCUGUUUAUAUGAAGUUCAAAAGCAAGCCAAACUAGGGCAUGGGGGAUGGGGGGGAUAGUGACUGGAAGGGAACAUAAGCCUUUUGGAAACCUGGUAUAUUUUUCAUGAUCUGGGUUCUGGUUACACAGGUAUCUUCAUUUUAUAAAAAUUCAUUGAAAUGGGUACUUGUCUGGGCAUUUAAAAAAAAAUUUUAACGUGUGAAUGAACACUUCAAUUUUCCCAUCUCACCAUAUCUUACCUAUCCUCACUCAGUAGAGCCUUGUUAAAUAGCACACCAACUUUAGGGGCAAAGGGAAUGAUAACAGACCCCUCUGUGACUGACCUGAGUAUGAGUGGUAUGUGGAUACCUUUUGGCCCUCAUGGUGAUUGAGGUUUCUUAUAGUUGUGAUGUUGAAUCUGCCAUAAUUCUUAUUAAGUUGUAUUACAAAGCUGAGGGUUCUACAGUUAACUGAGGGUUUGAGGUGGCAGUGAUCCUACUUCUGAGGAUUACCUACAUUUCUAGAUUCAAAGAGAAUUUUCUUAAAAUACAGAUAAAUCAAGCACAUUUUGUUCUUGUAUGUUCAGACAUAUGCCUGAAAAAAUAUCUGCUAUUGAGGAGUUCCCGGUGUGGCUCAGUGGUAAUGAAUCUGACUAGUAUCCAUGAGGAAGUGGGUUCACAUACCAGGCUUUGCUCAGUGGGUUAAGGAUCUGGCGCUGCCAUGAGCUGUGGUGUGGGUCGCAGAUGUGGCUCGGAUCCUAUGUUGCUGUGGUUAUGGCAUAGGCUGACAGGUUUGGAUCGCAUUCGACCUCUAGCCUGGGAACUUUCACAUGCCACACCUGCAGCCCUAAAAGGCAAAAAAAGACCAAAAAAUCUGCUAUUUCCAAACAACGAAAAGUAACUUUUUAUAAAGUUCCAAAUCUUAAAUUCAGUGCAUGAUUCAUGAUCAAAAUAUAUUCAAAUAAUUUUUUUUAGUUGACCAGAAUUUUUUUAAAAGAAAAAAUUUAUAUACAUGCCAUAAAAUAUAUAUAUAUAUAUAUGUGGUGUAUCUUUAUGUCAGGAAAUAUCUGGAAUUAUAACUUAGCAAGCAACCAUAAAAUGUUUUUUCUUGAAAUAAGUAGGUCUUACUCUGAAGAACAAGGAAUUUAUUUAUUUAUUUAUUAUGGCUGAACCCGCAACAUGCAGAAAUUCCUGGGCCAGGGAUUGAUUGAAUCAGUGCCACAGCAGUGACAAUGCUGGAUCCUUAACCCACUGAACCACCAGAGAACUCCAGAACAAGGAAUUUAAAUAAAUAAAUCUAUGAACUUAAUAUUCAUAUCUAAGUAAUUCCCUAGUUUUCAUCUGGGAAUGUGUGGAAAGUGAAAGCCACUUCUUGGGUCACCUGGACAGCAGUGACUUUAGGCAAAGUUGUGGAGUGUGUGAAGUAGUGCCUGAGUUUUGGAGCAAUAUGUGCAGCCUGCAAGAUGGAGGGUGGCUAUGGCCUCCAAAAAGGCACUCAGAAUUUGAAAAUUGGGUAAUAUCAUCAUUUGGAAUUAAGGUUGGAAGGAUUAGCAUGUGAUUGAUUAGAUCAGCCAUCUGAAAAUAGAAUUAACUCAUUCUAAAAUCUGGUUUGUGUUUGUAUUAUUAAGGUGAACAGGAUCUCCUAAAUCCAAUCCAUAUUCUUGAUGGAAUUAUUUUAAUAAUAGCUAUUUACUAGUAUGCUAAGCCUUUCCAUCUAUCAUCACAUUUAGACUCCCAAACAGUCCUUAGGAAAGAUGUUAAUAGCCUCUUUUGUAGGUGAGAAAUCAAGGUUUAGAAAGUGAAAUACCUUGUGAAAGACUGUAAAAUGCAAUAUAUAAGGAGUAGAGAUGAUAAGAGUAUCAGCAUUUUAGAAUUGCUAAAAGGAUUAAGAAAGCUAAAUUUAGGUUCUUGAUAAACAGAACUCAACAAUAAUGAUUGUUAUUAUUUAAUUAAAGGCUUACAGGCAAUAGAUGCUAGAGGUGGUGAAUAGCAUGCAAUUAAGGUACCAAAAAGUUAAUCAACUGUAGUUAGUAACAUCUUUCCGGGUGAAUUGUGUGUCAACAGAAAGAUGACUUAAGUUUCUGUUGUGGCUCAGCAGUAAUGAACCAGACUGAUGUCCACAAGAAUGCAGGUUCUAUCCCUGGCCUUUCUCAGUGGGUUAAGGAUCUGGCAUUGCCAUGAGCUGUAGGUUCGCAGAUGCAGCUAGGAUUCUGCAUUGCUGUGGCUGUGGUGUAGGCCGGUGGCUGCAGCUCUGAUUGGGAACUUCCAUAUGUCAUGGGUGUGGCCCUAAAAAAAAAAAAAAAAAAAAAAAAAAAA
rnacentral:lncRNA from 1 species